UACGUAGGGUGCGAGCGUUGUCCGGAAUUACUGGGCGUAAAGAGCUCGUAGGUGGUUUGUCGCGUUGUUCGUGAAAACUCACAGCUUAACUGUGGGCGUGCGGGCGAUACGGGCAGACUGGAGUACUGCAGGGGAGACUGGAAUUCCUGGUGUAGCGGUGGAAUGCGCAGAUAUCAGGAGGAACACCGGUGGCGAAGGCGGGUCUCUGGGCAGUAACUGACGCUGAGGAGCGAAAGCGGGGGGAGCGAACAGG
rnacentral:rRNA from 1 species